rnacentral:rRNA from 1 species
AGGGUCUAUAAUUUUUUAUUAUUAAUUUUCACGAAACCAUUUGAGCUAAGUUUUAUUUUAUUUUAGAAUUUCAAUUUAGCGUAGUAUAGCUAACUUAAUAAUUAAACUUAGGGGUGAAAGGCCUAACAAAUUUGGUAAUAUCUUGAUGGUAAGGAAAUAUAUUUAGUAUAUUAUUCAUUUUAAAAAUGGUAAGGUUUUUAAAAAUUAUAAUUUUAGAUUAUUUGUUUUUUGGAAUUUAUAAAAGAUACCAACGAUAAAAUAUUAACACACAAUACUAGUACUAUAUAAUUAUUACUAACCUAAGUAUUAUAAUAAUGUAGUACUUAAAUAAUGAUCCUAUUAGUAUAAAUUUAAUCUUAUUUAAGGAACUCGGCAAAUUGUUUCUCAACUGUUUAUCAAAAACAAGUUUUAAGUGACCAUUUAAAAUUCAACCUGCUCAAUGAAAAAUUAAAUAGCCGCAGUACCUUGACUGUGCAAAGGUAGCAUAAUCAAUUGGCUUAUAAUUGAAGUCUAGUAUGAAAGGGAACUUGGGAAAAAGCUGUCUUAAUUAAAUUUUAAGAAAUUACUAAAUAAGUGAAAAUUCUUAUAUUAGGAAAAAAGACGAGAAGACCCUAGAAAUUUUGUUAAUAUUUAUCUUUUAAUUUUGUUGGGGCGACAUGGUAGCAAAAAACCUACCUAAUUAAUAGGAAACUAUUUAGUGGCAUAAAUAAAUUACUCUAGGGAUAACAGCAUAAUAUUUUAAAGAUUGUGACCUCGAUGUUGGACUAGGGAGUGCAACACCUAAAAGGUAUUGUAAUAGGCUCUGUUCGAGCUUCUAACCCUACAUGAUCUGAGUUCAGACCGG